rnacentral:lncRNA from 1 species
GCUAAUUUUUGUUCAAAUCAUUGUUUUGUGCUCCUUGAAACAACCACACAGUCUUUUUGCACAGCAGCCUGUAUUUCUUCUGAGGUUACCUGUGGGUUUUUCUUUGUAUCCCGAACAAUUUUUCUGGCAGUUGUGGCUCAACUCUUUCUUGGUCUACCUGACCUUGGCUUGGUAACAAGAGAUCCACAAAUUUUCCACUUCUUAAUAAGUGAUUGAAC